AUUGAACGCUGGCGGCAUGCCUUACACAUGCAAGUCGAACGGUAACGCGGGGCAACCUGGCGACGAGUGGCGAACGGGUGAGUAACGCAUCGGAACGUGCCCAGUAGUGGGGGAUAGCCCGGCGAAAGCCGGAUUAAUACCGCAUACGACCUACGGGUGAAAGGGGGGGAUCGCAAGACCUCUCGCUAUUGGAGCGGCCGAUGUCAGAUUAGGUAGUUGGUGGGGUAAAAGCCUACCAAGCCGACGAUCUGUAGCUGGUCUGAGAGGACGACCAGCCACACUGGGACUGAGACACGGCCCAGACUCCUACGGUGGGCGGCAGUGGGGAAUUUUGGACAAUGGGCGCAAGCCUGAUCCAGCCAUGCCGCGUGCGGGAAGAAGGCCUUCGGGUUGUAAACCGCUUUUGUCAGGGAAGAAACGACUCUUGCGAGAGGCAUUGACGGUACUGUAUGAAUAAGCACCGGCUAACUCCGUGCCAGCAGCCGCCGUAAUAC
rnacentral:rRNA from 1 species